UGGGGGAUAUUGCACAAUGGGCGAAAGCCUGAUGCAGCGACGCCGCGUGGGGGAUGAAGGCCUUCGGGUUGUAAACUUCUUUUGCUCUGAACAAGGCAUGCCUUUGGGGUGUGUUGAGUGUAGGGGUUGAUUAGCGCCGGCUAACUACGUGCCAGCAGCCGCGGUAAUACGUAGGGCGCGAGCGUUGUCCGGAAUUAUUGGGCGUAAAGGGCUUGUAGGUGACUGGUUGCGUCUGUCGUGAAAGCUCAUGGCUUAACUGUGGGUUUGCGGUGGGUACGGGCUGGCUUGAGUGCAGUAGGGGAGGCUGGAAUUCCUGGUGUAGCGGUGGAAUGCGCAGAUAUCAGGAGGAAUACCGGUGGCGAAGGCGGGUCUCUGGGCUGUUACUGACGCUGAGGAGCGAAAGCGUGGGGAGCGAACAGG
rnacentral:rRNA from 1 species